rnacentral:lncRNA from 13 species
CUUAAAUUCAACCAGUGGUUAAAUUCAGCCAUCUCUUGCCUUACAGGUCAUAAAACUUUUGCUGGGUCUGAAAACCCUGUUGGUAAGGAAGAGUGGAGAUGCCUGCAUUGGCGUAUCUCAAGGGAAGUGUGGUCAUGAUGACAUCCAUCCUUCUUAUGCUGCCAGAAUUAAACCUGUCCAUGAAAUAGAUGGGGAGGCACACUGA